GGCGACGAGGAGAAGCCUGUACUUGCGCAAAGGGCGCCACGCUGCCGGGAGAGAACGAGCGCCAGCAACAGCAGUCCGUGCGGCUCUGGUAGCUCCUGCGUGGGGGAAGGCUGGAUCGGAGAGGGGAGAAGGGGUGGAGGCAAGCAGAUACAAGGGAGACGAUCCAUCCGGGAUGGCGUCGUUCGACGUUUUUUCUCGCACGGGAGGAUACAUG
rnacentral:lncRNA from 1 species